rnacentral:piRNA from 1 species
UGAUGGUAAAAUCACCAAGUCUGAUGCCAAU